AACGCACAUUGCGCCCGCCAGUAUUCUGGCGGGCAUGCCCGUUCGAGCGUCAUUUCGACCCUCGGGGCCCCCCGUCCGCGGGGCGGUCCCGGUGUUGGGACGCUGCGGCGCGUUCGCCGCAGUCCCCGAAAUCCAGUGGCGGUCCCGACCGAGACCCCGAGCGCAGUAACACCCCUCGCUCGCGGCGUCCGGCCGGACACCAGCCGUAAAACCCGGCGGGCGCCCCACAGGCCCCGACCGCACCCAAGGUUGACCUCGGAUCGGGUAGGAAUACCCGCUGAACUUAA
rnacentral:misc_RNA from 1 species